AACGAACGCUGGCGGCAUGCCUAACACAUGCAAGUCGAACGAGACCUUCGGGUCUAGUGGCGCACGGGUGCGUAACGCGUGGGAACCUGCCCUUAGGUUCGGAAUAACUCCCCGAAAGGGGUGCUAAUACCGGAUAAUGUCUUCGGACCAAAGAUUUAUCGCCUUUGGGUGGGCCCGCGUUGGAUUAGCUAGUUGGUAGGGUAAAGGCCUACCAAGGCGACGAUCCAUAGCUGGUCUGAGAGGAUGAUCAGCCACACUGGGACUGAGACACGGCCCAGGACUCUUCCGGAAGGAGCAAGUGGGAAUAUUGGACAAUGGGCGAAAGCCUGAUCCAGCAAUGCCGCGUGAGUGAUGAAGGCCUUAGGGUUGUAAAGCUCUUUUACCCGGGAUGAUAAUGACAGUACCGGGAGAAUAAGCUCCGGCUAACUCCGUG
rnacentral:rRNA from 1 species